rnacentral:rRNA from 1 species
CCUACGGGGGGCUGCAGUGGGGGAUAUUGCACAAUGGGGGGAACCCUGAUGCAGCGACGCCGCGGGGGUGAAGGAGUGCUUCGGCAUGUAAAGCCCUAUCGGCAGGGAAGCAGCAAGACGGUACCUGACUAAGAAGCCCCGGCUAACUACGUGCCAGCAGCCGCGGUAAUACGUAGGGGGCGAGCGUUAUCCGGAUUUACUGGGGGUAAAGGGAGCGUAGACGGCAGCGCAAGUCUGGAGUGAAAUCCCAUGGCUUAACCAUGGAACUGCUUUGGAAACUGUGCAGCUGGAGUGCAGGAGAGGUAAGCGGAAUUCCUAGUGUAGCGGUGAAAUGCGUAGAUAUUAGGAGGAACACCAGUGGCGAAGGCGGCUUACUGGACUGUAACUGACGUUGAGGCUCGAAAGCGUGGGGAGCAAACAGGAUUAGAUACCCCGGUAGUC